GCUGCUUUAUAAAGCUGAGCCCAGUGAAGGGAGAGUUUAUCAGUGACCAGGCACAGGGACAGGAGCAGACACCAUGAUUUCAGCCAUCCAGCUGAUCUGGCCUCUGGCAUUCUGCAUCGCAGGUAUCAGUGGGGACAUCACCAUGACCCAGUCUCCCCUGGUGUCAGUGAGCCUUGGCCAGACCGCCACCAUCACCUGUACAGCCAGUCAGUCUGUUAGCAGCUAUGUGAAUUGGUACCAGCAGCGAGAAGGACAGAAACCCACUCUCCUGAUCUAUGGGGCAACAAACCGAUUCACAGGAACAUCCGAGCGAUUCACCGGCAGUGGAUCUGGCACUCAAUUCACCCUGACAAUCAGCAAUGUACAGAAUGAGGAUGUCGCUGAUUAUUACUGUCAGCAAUAUAAUAGCUUCCCCUUUACGUUCGGUAAAGGAACCAAGCUCAGACUGAGCAGAGAGAAGUCACCACCCACACUGACCCUGCUGUCCCACUCCCCGGAGGAGGUCAAGACCAAGGGCACUGCCACCCUGGUGUGCCUUGCCAAUCACUUCUAUCCCGAUGAGGUGAAGGUGGAGUGGAAGAAGGAUGGUGCAGCCAUUUCGGACGGGGUUCAGACCAGCAAAUACCUGCGAGCUUCGGACAGCACCUACAGCGUCAGCAGCCUGCUGACCCUCUCUGGCUCCGGCUGGGAGUCCAACGCCAGCUUCUCCUGUGUCGUCACCCACGAGAGUCUUUCCUCUCCCCUCAGCAAGAGCAUCAGGAGAUCAGAAUGUGCGUAGAGUGUUAGAGACAGUCCACAGAGGAGAUACAACUUUAAAUAGAACAGGGGUGAGCUGGGAGGACAAAGGUCAUUGUCAGCACCAAAUUACAACUCUCUUCCUUCUCCGGACCGGCUCUGAGACACUUCUGAGGGUCAGGGGUUAAGGCACGUUAUUUUGACAUUGUAGAGGGAGCUUUACUCUGUAUCUAACCCCGUGUUGUACCUGCCCUG